UACGUAGGGUGCGAGCGUUGUCCGGAAUUAUUGGGCGUAAAGGGCUCGUAGGCGGUCUGUUGCGUCGGGAGUGAAAACUCAGGGCUUAACCCUGAGCCUGCUUCCGAUACGGGCAGACUAGAGGUAUGCAGGGGAGAACGGAAUUCCUGGUGUAGCGGUGAAAUGCGCAGAUAUCAGGAGGAACACCAGUGGCGAAGGCGGCUACCUGGCCCACUCUUGACGCUGAGGCGCGAAAGCUAGGGGAGCAAACGGG
rnacentral:rRNA from 1 species